CAGUAGCGUAUAUUAAUUUUGUUGCAGUUAAAAAGCUCGUAGUUGGAUUUCUUUUAUGUUUUAAGAUAAGGUUAGUAGGUUUUCUAAUCAACUAUACCUCCUUAUAAUAUAAAAUUUUUGUAAAUUUCGUACUUUAAUGAAUACUUUUGAUAAUUAGUUUUGUUAUUAGUGUGAGUUAUGUACAUAUGUGAUUUACAUCAUUUACUGUGAAAAAAUCAAAGCGUUCAAAGCAGGCUUUAGGCUCUCUGAAUGUCUCAGCAUGGAAUAAUAAGAUAGGUCUCAUCCUCAUUUUGUUGGUUUGCAAGGAAGAGAAAUGAUUAACAGGGACAAUUGGGGGUAUUCGUAUUAGAUUGUCAGAGGUGAAAUUCUUGGAUUUAUUUAAGACGAACAACUGCGAAAGCAUUUACCAAGGAUGUUUNCAUUAA
rnacentral:rRNA from 1 species